rnacentral:ncRNA from 1 species
UUUCUGCCGAAGUUUCCCUCAGGAUAGCAGAAGCUAGUAUCAGUUUUAUGAAGUAAAGCGAAAGAUUAGAGGUGCAGGGGUUGAAAUGACCUUGACCUAWUCUCAAACUUUAAAUAUGUAAGAAGUCCUUGUUGCUUAAUUGAACGUGGACAUAUGAAUGAAGAGCUUUUAGUGGGCCAUUUUUGGUAAGCAGAACUGGCGAUGCGGGAUGAACCGAACGUGGAGUUAAGGUGCCGGAAUGUACGCUCAUCAGACACCACAAAAGGUGUUAGUUCAUCUAGACAGCCGGACGGUGGCCAUGGAAGUCGGAAUCCGCUAAGGAGUGUGUAACAACUCACCGGCCGAAUGAACUAGCCCUGAAAAUGGAUGGCGCUCAAGCGUAUUCCCUAUACUCCACCGUCAGGGUUAAUAUGAUGCCCUGACGAGUAGGCAGGCGUGGAGGUCAGUGACGAAGCCUAGGCAGUGAUGCUGGGUAGAACGGCCUCUAGUG